AAGGGCUUUACUCUUAGAGCAGAGCUUCCCAAAUGUGUCUGCACAUUCGCAUCUCCGGAGAGCUUUUAAAAAUUCCAAAGUGCAUGCGACACCACAGACUGACAAAGUCACAGUCCCUGGGGUGGGACACAGGCAUCGGCGUGAGAAGCCACACAAGGAGCCGAAGAGCAACAGACUCUAAAAGCAUCUUCCCUUGUGACUGCAGAGGGAAGACCCCUUAAGAUCACGCAGACAGGGAAGAGUGCAGGUGGGCUUGGGGAGGUCCAGGCAGGAGCAUUUCAGGAAUCGGCACCUAACCAUCAGAGCUGACAGACUGGAAGUACAACCCAGAGAACAGAUUCCAGAGUUCACAACCACUGCCUGGGCCUUGGAACCCUCCACUGGGAAGUGGAGAUGUGGGGCAAGGAAGCCGCUGACCUCCCUUCUGCUCUGACAUUCUGUGGGACCUUGCUUCCGGUGUCAAUUGCCUGCGGGUUGUUAGACCUCAACAAAUAUUCUCUGGGCCUCAGUUUCCUGUGGGCUCUGAAUGGGACAGGGUACAUGGAAACAUGCAGCGAAUGACGGCAUACAGUAGGAGCUCAAUAAAUGCUGAAAGCUCAGACUCCCAGGCAGGAGGUCUUCUCCUGGGGGCCCAGAGGGAAGCUGGAGCCAUGGAUGGUUGGAGAGAGAAAGCUCCGGCCAGGAAACUGGCCUUUGCUACCGGUUGUUUUCUCUCACAUUUGAUUAUGAAAAAUCUCAAACACCCGGUACGGUUGAAAGCACUUUGCAGUGGACACCUGGAUUCCUUCACCAUCGUUUGACUCUACUUUCUGUAUCACAUCUAUCCUUCCAUCUCUCCCUCUCUUCCUCCGUUACUCCAUGUUAAUUUUGGGGCAUUUCAGAGUAACUCACAGGUCUCAGUACACUUCUCCCUAAAUACAGCAGGCAUAUGGCUAACUAGAGUUCCAUGGCUUUAUGGAUCUUUCCUUCCCAUGUGAAAUGUAUGUGCCAUGAAAUGCACAAAUACUAGGUCCAUAGGUGCUGUGUUUCGACAAAUGCAUGCACCCCUGUCAGAUAGAGAACAUCCCCAAUCACCCCAAGGUUGGCUACAGAUG